CCAACAGGGAUUACCUCAGUAACGGCGAGUGAAGCGGUAAAAGCUCAAAUUUGAAAUCUUCGGAAUUGUAAUUUGAUGGAUAAAAUUGCCACGGACAAAAGUUCACUGGAAAGUGACGCCGUAGAGGGUGAUAGCCCCGUUUACGUCCACCGGCACUAUAAUUUUAUUCCAAAGAGUCGGGUUGUUUGGGAAUGCAGCUCAAAGUGGGUGGUAAAUUCCAUCUAAAGCUAAAUAUUGACGAGAGACCGAUAGCGAACAAGUACAGUGAUGGAAAGAUGAAAAGAACUUUGAAAAGAGAGUGAAACAGUACGUGAAAUUGUUGAAAGGGAAGGGGAGGGAAGAUGUUAAAGGGACUCCUUCUUUGUAGGGAUCCCCGCCAAAAAGUCUUUCCUCUCGCCCGUCUUGAAACACGGACCA
rnacentral:rRNA from 1 species